GCCAUCUGAAUAUCGAAACGAACUCCAACUCGGGGCUCAAGAAAUAUCAAAUCGGUGUACCAAAAUCUACGGAAUCGCUGCUUUAUUUGUUCUUUUUACGGUAUCGUCUUGGUUGUUGGUAAUUUUACUCGGCGUGGAUGUACCUCUUACCAAUUAUGUCCUACAUAUAUCUGUUACAGCUGCUGUCGUCAUCGUUUGCAGUGUAUUUGCAGCAAUGAGUUUGGCAGAUAUGCGACCCCUGCCUCUUGUUGACUGGGUGCUCACAUUGGUGUUGGUAACGGCAGUAACAUUGUGGCCCGUAAGGAUCAUUGCUACUGUAAACCUUGACGAGUACUUUGUUUUGUUUGGAUGUGUGACGGGUGCUAUGAUCAUCUUGAACAUAAUAGGUUCCAAAUGUCCUUUGGAUUAUCUUGUUGUUUUAGCAUCUUUCGUGCUGAUUUGGUGGUUGGUAUUUCUGGUCUUGGGAGUUAUUGUCAUUUGCCUAAUAUUUUUCGCAGAAAACCGGACAAUGGCUGCGUAUCUGUUGGCUAUAAUUUUUUACCCGCUUUUCUUUUCGUUGACCAUAUUUACAGGAAUGUCUAUAACCAGUGGCCGAUACGAUACCCGUUCUCUAACACUGUGUCUAAUGCCAGCCAGAAGUGUGUACUUCAAUUUUGUAGCGAUGUAUUUAGUGUCCUUAUUUGUGAUGCGGGAAGCAGGGUGAAUGCUAUUGAAAACGAUUAAAUAAAUAUUUCCACAGCUAAUUGCCAUAUA